rnacentral:rRNA from 1 species
UACGUAGGGGGCGAGCGUUAAUCGGAAUUACUGGGCGUAAAGCGUGCGCAGGCGGUUCGCAAAGUCUGAUGUGAAAGCCCCGGGCUCAACCUGGGAACUGCAUUGGAAACUAACGGGCUCGAGUGUGGCAGAGGGGGGUGGAAUUCCACGUGUAGCAGUGAAAUGCGUAGAGAUGUGGAGGAACACCGAUGGCGAAGGCAGCCCCCUGGGCUAACACUGACGCUCAGGCACGAAAGCGUGGGGAGCAAACAGG